AGUUUCUAAGUCGGGGGUGUUGAUGAGUGGUGGAUUCCCACUCAUUUGAGGCUCUUUUCGUAGUUAUUUUGGCUUGCUUUAGUUUAGAAUUGGUGCUUUUAAUGUGGGUUUUUUUCAUAUUUGUAGGAAAAUGAAAUGGAGAGCUGAUUUAAGAGAUAUUUGAAGAAACCAAGUGAACUUGAAGCAAAAAGAGGUCAAGAGCUGAAAAUGCAAUUUCUGGCAGGGAAAGUACCCUUCGCGAACGCGCUUGAAGAAACCCAGUGAACUUUAUCUGCCUAUUUGAAUGUCUUCAUAUAGGGGAAGAAAUUUGCUAAACCUGAACUCGAAUCAUGCAUUGAGGAGUUUGAAGAAAGGUUGAAUAAAUUCGACAUUGAGAGGAAGGAACAAGAACUUACUGCCAAAACUGCUCAAAGCCAUCAACAGAAAGUGGAGAGCUUGGAGAGCAUCACAGUGACUGUAAAAGAAGAAAAGGAAAUUGGUGAAUCUGAAAUUACUGCAGUAGCAUCAAGAAGAUUAGCAAUGGAGUAGCAGCACAAGAAUCAGAAGGUAUGCAAGACCAAAAUGAUGAAAUCGAGGAUGUUCAAGAGGGCCCUUUCCCUGUUGAGCAACUUCAGUCCCUCUCUAGGCAGGUUUAUGCCACAGAGAAGUAAUACCACUGCCAAAGAGGAGAGAAAAAUUCAGAUCCAAUUGCAACUUUCACACACGAUCUAGUACAAUCUCCUUGUGUUGAUCAUUAGUCUUAAUCAACAAUUGUUUCUGGGACACAGUGGGUACCUUGCAAUCAUAUCAGAAUCAUCACCUACUACCUCAACACUAGUAAAAUCCACUUUGAAGUGGUUCAUGGAACUCUGCCAAUGCUAGGGCCUCUUUCUCGACUUGCUCCGCAUCUGCUACAGCAUUUCUAAAGGGAAAGCUGAGGAGCUUAUGUGGUAGCAGUGCUUCGGAUGAGGAGGACCUCACAUUUCCUACCGGCUCGAGCUGAGAGUGAUGCAAUUCAGGGAGUUCCUCGUAUUCUCUUUUGAUAUUUUGAUUGUGUGGACACCAUCUCAUUUUCAGUUGGGGGUGCCUCCCUUGUAGUCAUUUUGUUGAUUGUUUUUGCAUACAAUGAUUGUGCCCUUGUCGGGCAUACUUUUCUUUCUUUGUUAUGGAUUGGUGUGCCCUUGUCG